AGUGAACGCUGGCGGUAAGCCUAACACAUGCAAGUCGAACGGCAGCACAGUAAGAGCUUGCUCUUACGGGUGGCGAGUGGCGGACGGGUGAGGAAUACAUCGGAAUCUACUUUUUCGUGGGGGAUAACGUAGGGAAACUUACGCUAAUACCGCAUACGACCUACGGGUGAAAGCAGGGGAUCUUCGGACCUUGCGCGAUUGAAUGAGCCGAUGUCGGAUUAGCUAGUUGGCGGGGUAAAGGCCCACCAAGGCGACGAUCCGUAGCUGGUCUGAGAGGAUGAUCAGCCACACUGGAACUGAGACACGGUCCAGACUCCUACGGGAGGCAGCAGUGGGGAAUAUUGGACAAUAGGCGCAAGCCUGAUCCAGCCAUACCGCGUGGGUGAAGAAGGCCUUCGGGUUGUAAAGCCCUUUUGUUGGGAAAGAAAAGCAGCAGGUUAAUACCCCGCUGUUCUGACGGUACCCAAAGAAUAAGCACCGGCUAACUUCGUG
rnacentral:rRNA from 1 species